UUUCCAGAGAGUGUUACCCUUUGUUUGGCAAGACUCUGCAAACAACUCUGGGUCAUCCUGAUUAAGCUGCGCUUCUGGAGUCUUCCCCCAAAUCGACUGUUUUUGAUCGAAAGGAAAGCCGAUUCUGGGGAACAGUUCAUCGCUUGCGCAACCACCACAUCUUUGGAAAGAUCCCAAUGAUUUUUUCAUGCUAUGCAGCAUUUCUCAAAUGUGGCCACAAGAGGAUUUCUUCAUAGAUAGACAAGGAGAGAUUGAUGGACAGAGACCACUACAAAAGCAGGAGACUGAGAGACAAUGAAAAAAAUGAGAUUCUGAGCUGCCCAGGAGAGAGAUUGUGAGAGGAUGUGGUGAGGAUGAAACGGGAUAAUUGAAGUGAAAGCACUUUGGAAUAAUUAAAGCACUGUACAAAAAAC